rnacentral:tRNA from 1 species
UCCCUGGUGGCUCAGAUGGUAAAGCAUCUGCCUGCAAUGCAGGAGACCCACGUUUGAUGCCUGGGUGGGGAA